rnacentral:lncRNA from 1 species
UACACAGCUGGAUACACUUGAUGGUCUCUUCGGAAAUUGAUGGUUAAAGAGACUGUAUCGUAGGUAGAUGAAUCUAUUUAAGAAUUAAAUCAUGUAAGGCUUUUGCAAGUAGUACGAAAAUUGUUUUUUUUUUGUUUAUGAACGUAUGAGACCUGAUAGUUGUUUUUUACCUGUUUAUGGUGCAUAUGGUUGCCAGUCUGAUGGAAUUAUUUAUUCAGUACAAAUAUGUUAGAGCUACAGAGCCGUGAAGAUAAAGCUGGGAUAUUGUAUAUUUAGAUACAUAAGUUGGUUUUGGUGUUUGUAAUUGAGAUGUUCGAUUAAUCUCUAGCUGCAAAAUCUGUUUAUUAAAAAGUAGAUGAAAGUAUGGUGUAGUCUUAGUUGUAGGUGUGUCGUAGGUAUAUGAUCCUAUGCAAGUAAGAGCAAGUGAAAUGGAUUGUGCACACAACGUACAUUGCUACCGAGGAUCACACUAUACUAAAAAAUAUAAUUUAGAACAACUCUGAUUCGUAAGGUUGCUAGGAGUACAUAUAAACAGAUGCUAAGGCAGUUUUGAAUAGACAAGAUAGCACCGGAGGAAAAGCAUACAUAUAUGAAUGACAUCAAAACAAGCAAAAUAAUAUAAAGUUUUGAAGUGAACUAUAGCUUGAUAUAUCAAAGGUAAAAUGGGCAGGUGUAAAUGAAAAACAAACCGGUGUAAACAGAACCAUG